rnacentral:rRNA from 1 species
CCUAACACAUGCAAGUCGAACGGUAACAGGAAACAGCUUGCUGUUUCGCUGACGAGUGGCGGACGGGUGAGUAAUGUCUGGGAAACUGCCUGAUGGAGGGGGAUAACUACUGGAAACGGUAGCUAAUACCGCAUAACGUCGCAAGACCAAAGAGGGGGACCUUCGGGCCUCUUGCCAUCAGAUGUGCCCAGAUGGGAUUAGCUAGUAGGUGGGGUAACGGCUCACCUAGGCGACGAUCCCUAGCUGGUCUGAGAGGAUGACCAGCCACACUGGAACUGAGACACGGUCCAGACUCCUACGGGAGGCAGCAGUGGGGAAUAUUGCACAAUGGGCGCAAGCCUGAUGCAGCCAUGCCGCGUGUAUGAAGAAGGCCUUCGG